UUGCCUACAAUGGUCNUCUCGACCCAUCUGAUGAAGCGCAUCCAGAAGGGACCCGUUCGUGGGAUCUCCCUGAAACUGCAGGAGGAGGAGCGCGAGCGCCGGAUGGACUUCGUGCCGCCCGAAUCUGCCAUCAAGACCGAUCGUAUUGAGGUUGAUCAGGAGACUGUUGAUUUAUUGGAGGCUCUUGGAAUGAAGGAUCUUCCUGGGGUUGUUCUUAGAGAGGACCAGGGCCCGAUUAAUGUGGCGCCGGCAAUGACGUACGGCCGCGGCAGUGGUCGGCGGUACUGAUAUACAGGAAUGCAACGAUCUGAAUUGGAAUUUUUUGAGUUAAUGUGACUUUUUGGAUGCUAUUUAGUAAUGGAUUAUUGUUAGUUUUACUCUUUUUUCGUUAUAUAUUGACACUGGGGAUUAUUUGCUUUUCAAGAAUUUGUGUCUAAUUUUAAUGCAUUAUGGUCUUUUACCUGGGACAAUGCCGUUCCAGGUUUAUAAACAGAGGUUAUAUUUUUCAUUUAAACCUUUGGAAGAAGAUUGAAAUAGCUUGUCAAAUGAAUUUUAAGUGCAUUAAUUUCUUUGUGGAAUUGGUCAUUUAAAUGGUAAAUUUUUGGUAGCAAGUAUGCUGGAUGGGGUAUAGGCUUACAAAAAUGCAGGUAUUUGACGAUUCUGAAGUUAAUUUGUCGUUGAUUGGUCAUCCAAAUAAUUUGCAACCUGUAAUUCAGGAUUACGUAUAUAAGGAAUUACAUAAAGGGGAUUUUGUUUAAGAAGCCUAGUCAACCAUAUAUCAAUAAUUUUUGUUUAAGUAGUCUAAAGUCUAUUUGAUUAUAUAUUAAAAAUCUUAAAUACCCUUAAGUUGAAAUGACUAAAAUAUCCAAUUUGAAAAUGAAUAUUAUCCAAAUCCCCAAAUAUAAAUCCCUAAAUCCCCUUCAUUUCUCUCGUUUCCAAGUCCAUUCUCACCAUAUUAAACUCUCCUUCAAAUUCAGUUGUAUUCUUCUUCAUAUGCAUUAUUCUUGCUUACAAUGAAUGAUUGCAUGUUGAAGUUCCCUUUCUUGAACCAAGAACAAAUGAAAUAGUGCAAAUUUUGGAGGUGGGUUAGCAAGAAUCGAUUUCACACAGUUGAAGGUGAGCUUUAUAAAUUGAAAAUUAUAGAUUUGUUGUUAUUUUCUAGUUGUAUACUAUGAGAAAAAUCAAUUGGAUAAUUAAAAUUUGCUGUAAAAUAUUGAAACUAAUGGUGCCGUUUCUCAGUAGUUGGGUGCUCUUUUUUCUCAGCUGGCUGCCGUUUUAAUAAGACAAUGGAGGUAUUGAUAUACUUGUUGGCAAAUUAGUUGUUUCCCCAUUCUUUUAUAGCAUUUUAUUAUCAUAAAUAAAUUUAAACGGCACAUACACAUUUUAAAUUACGAAAUGCCGUUUUGUUCUGCUGAAAUGUGUUAUGUAACAAUAUGAGUAGCCUUUUGUUUGUUAUUGAAGUUGUGAUUCAUAGUACUCAGUUUUGGCAAUUAAUGGAGUAAUAUAUUAUAUAUAUAUUUUUAUUGAAUUGCAGAUAUGGACUCUGGUGCAAUGAUUGUUAUUUGUUAUUUUGUUAAAUUUGAAAAGAGUGAUGAAGAUGAAUGGAGUUGGAAAUGGAUAGGGAAUGAUGAAGACACCGCAACAAAUAUUUUUGUAUCAAAAACAAUCUCAUAUGCAGAGUUGUAUAACGAAGUCCGAAAAGCAGUUAAGGUUGAUCCCAAUGUGUAUGACAUCGAGAUGAAAUUUCUCGUUCCCGGCAUGGCAAAAUUAUCAGUUCCGCCAAUGAAGAUUACUUGCGAUAUGGAUGUUAGUUGGUUUCUUUCUUUGCAUGACAAAGUUCCAAUUUGUGUAACCCUUGUAGAAAAGGGUUAUGUUGAUCAAGAAGACAUGAAUGUUGAUAUUGUAAAUGUUCAGGAGAAUCAUGAAUGUAUUUCAAAUGUUGUUGCAACUAACAAUGCGGUGGAGAUGGAUGAAUUGUAUAUGCAAAAUGAUCAGUCCGAUGACAAUUAUAUGCGACCGUUGUCUCCAUGUAAUCAAAAUUGUGAAAACGAUUGUGUGAACUUUACAAGUGAUGAUUAUUGGGAUGGGGUAGAAGUAGUGCAUGGA
rnacentral:lncRNA from 1 species